rnacentral:rRNA from 1 species
GGGGAAUCUUCCGCAAUGGACGAAAGUCUGACGGAGCAACGCCGCGUGAGUGACGACGGCCUUCGGGUUGUAAAGCUCUGUUAAUCGGGACGAAUGGUUCUUGUGCGAAUAGUGCGAGGAUUUGACGGUACCGGAAUAGAAAGCCACGGCUAACUACGUGCCAGCAGCCGCGGUAAUACGUAGGUGGCAAGCGUUGUCCGGAAUUAUUGGGCGUAAAGCGCGCGCAGGCGGAUUGGUCAGUCUGUCUUAAAAGUUCGGGGCUUAACCCCGUGAUGGGAUGGAAACUGCCAAUCUAGAGUAUCGGAGAGGAAAGUGGAAUUCCUAGUGUAGCGGUGAAAUGCGUAGAUAUUAGGAAGAACACCAGUGGCGAAGGCGACUUUCUGGACGAAAACUGACGCUGAGGCGCGAAAGCCAGGGGAGCGAACGGGAUUAGAUACCCCGGUAGUCCUGGCCGUAAACGAUGGGUACUAGGUGUAGGAGGUAUCGACCCCUUCUGUGCCGGAGUUAACGCAAUAAGUACCCCGCCUGGGGAGUACGACCGCAAGGUUG